UACUCAUGUGUCCUCUCCCUCUCUCUUUGGUCUUUAUUACUGCAGAGUCCAAGUAAAUGGGCUGGCCAGAUGACGGGGUCUUGUUUGCCAUCUGUGGAGGUGUGGUGCUUGCAAUGAGUAGGAAAAUACAGUGAAGCAGAGAUGAACUGGAUGGAUUUCUCAGCCAAUGCAGUCCAAGAAGAGGGACCCUGUUCCCUGGAUAUACCAGCCCUGCACAUGCUCUGAGGAAGUGCACGAUGGGGCCGGCUGACAGGACCAGGCUCUGAUGGAACAUACCCAGCACAAACCGUGGGCCCUGGGCCAGGGAUUUCUCUCUAUGUCUUUGCUGCUCUCUCAUGAGGCUUACUUGGCUGCACAUCCCCCUGGAUGUCACACCCUUGGCUACAACAAGCUCACCCAUCUCCUCACAGCUGUGGCUGGAUUCUCACCUGGCACCAGGGCAGAGUGGGGCACACACGUCCCAAAUCAGGCUGGUAGCAAUUUUAGCCUCCCCUCUGGCACAGAACAACAAAAACAAAAGUCUCAGACAACUUCAACAUCCCAGGCCUUCCGCUGCUCCUAUCUGGGGAUGGUCAAAGGGCAGCUGUGAGCAGGUAAGAUCAGAGGUGCUUUACUUCUUGGACACAGCCCUACAUCAGGCACUACCUAGAGUCUUCUGGGCAGCAUGGAUUAGUACUGGCUCUGGAAGUGCUAUACCAGCCCUUAAAUUAUGGUCUGGGAAUCUGAUACCCUGGGUUAUACUGGUAGCUCUGGGAAGAAGAAUGGGUUAAUAGAAGAGUCAAGAGGAGGCUGGAUUCUUAGUUCCAGCUCUUAGAGGGAGCACAGUCUAGUGGGUAAAGUGUAGGGACUAGGAGUUAGAUCUCCUGGGUUUGUUGGGCUUCCUCUUUCUGGGUGGGCUUGGCACUCAGGACCUUCUGUACCAGUGAUCUGGAACAAGUGGCACAAGCAUCCUGUUGUGUCUUACUGUGUUUUCCUUGUACUGUCCCUUUAAGGCCAAAGCCCUCCUGGUCAGCACUGCAGGGUUCACUUUACUUCUGGCAGUUUUACAGCACUGGGGACUCCAUGUUCUCUGCUGUGAGGAGCCAGAGGCAUUCUUGGUUCCUCUCCCUCCACAGGACUGGAGUGGGUCAAGUCAGAGGCAGAGCCAAGUGUAAGAUCUGUA
rnacentral:lncRNA from 1 species